rnacentral:rRNA from 1 species
AUAGCCUCAGUAACGGCGAGUGAAGCGGCUACAGCUCAAAUUUGAAAUCUGGCCUCCUUUGGGGGUCCGAGUUGUAAUUUGCAGAGGAUGCUUUGGCAUUGGCGGCGGUCUAAGUUCCUUGGAACAGGACAUCGCAGAGGGUGAGAAUCCCGUACGUGGGCGCCUGCCUUUGCCGUGUAAAGCUCCUUCGACGAGUCGAGUUGUUUGGGAAUGCAGCUCUAAAUGGGAGGUAAAUUUCUCCUAAAGCUAAAUACCGGCCAGAGACCGAUAGCGCACAAGUAGAGUGAUCGAAAGAUGAAAAGUACUUUGGAAAGAGAGUCAAAUAGCACGUGAAAUUGUUGAAAGGGAAGCGCUUGCAGCCAGACUUGCCCGCAGUUGCUCACCUAGGCUUUCGCCUGGGGCACUCUUCUGCGGGCAGGCCAGCAUCAGUUUGGGCGGUCGGAUAAAGGCCUCUGUCAUGUACCACCCCUCGGGGUGGCCUUAUAGGGGAGGCGUAAUGCGACCAGCCCGGACUGAGGUCCGCGCAUCUGCUAGGAUGCUGGCGUAAUGGCUGUAAGCGGCCCGUCUUGAAACACGGACCAAGGAGUCUAACAUCUAUGCGAGUGUUUGGGUGUCAAGCCCGGGCGCGCAAUGAAAGUGAACGGAGGUGGGAACCCCUCGGGGUGCACCAUCGACCGAUCCUGAAGUCUUCGGAUGGAUUUGAGUAAGAGCAUAGCUGUUGGGACCCGAAAGAUGGUGAACUAUGCUUGAAUAGGGUGAAGCCAGAGGAAACUCUGGUGGAGGCUCGCAGCGGUUCUGACGUGCAAAUCGAUCGUCAAAUUUGGGCAUAGGGGCGAAAGACUAAUCGAACCAU